ensembl:lncRNA
AAAGUUAGAGCAGGUUUUAGUGAUAACAUUGAGUAUGUCUGUUCUGUGAAGCCAUCCUUCUGUCUCUUCCAUCUGCUCUACAGCUCUGCUCAGUGAGCCAGCAUUCACCAUACGAGGACCCAGAAACCGAAGCAGCAAAUAGAUCAUAAUUAUUUUUAUUAUUGACACCUGAGCUUAUCCUGUGGUGACACGUCAGGGUGUGGUUUGAGAAGCUUAGAGAAGCCAUGUGUAGGUUUUUCAGAGGUACUGAAGCUAAUCUGAUGCACAUUUGAAACCACUUUAUCGUCAACCUUGAAGCCUUUUCCCUUGUAAAACUGCAAAGUAGUGGAUGAAAACACUUCAGCUAAAGCAAAUGUUUUCAAUAUUUUGUCCACCUAAUAUACCACGUGUCAGUGAGGUUAAGCUAAGCAUUGGAAGCAGCUUUAAUACAACACAGUUCAGCAGCACUACAAACAGCCUCCACAAUGGCUUGGAAGUUCAAUCAGUGUCUGAAGCAGAAACUGAAUGUUAAAAGCUUUGUGAAAGGAGGAUUCAUUUCAACUAUGUGUACUGUCAGCUGUCUAAAUCUAUUAAUCACCACAUCUUUCUUCUGGCUUUCUUUUGCAUGUAUUGUACACACAUCACUAAACCUGUGUGAGAUGUGUGGUUUUGUGCCUGUGAGAGACAAAAACCUGAAGAACUGCCUCACGUUUUCGAGAGUCAGCUUACCUACCGAUGCCCUGCCUUCUAACCCCAGCAGCGUCGGUGCCCUGAUGAACUGCGGGACCAUCUCAACAAUCUGCACUCCACAGACAUUUCAUUAAACAUCGCCUCGGGGUUUUCACGUAUGGACUGUUGUCGUAGCUCACAGAGGAGCGUGUGGGACUGAAACUGAUUUGUUUCCAGUCCCCAACGGCAGCCCCAGUGCAGGUGUGUAGUGACCUCAGGCUGACACUGGAAUUUUUCUUAAGACAUAUAUGAAAUAUUUGCCCAAAGUGAUAUGAUUGGCUAAUCUGAUGCUUUUGUGAUAGAAUAGAAGAAAAAAAUGUACAAAAGGUCAAAUAAGUUCAAGAUCUUCAUUUUUUAGAGAAACACUAUAAUUAAAUGUAAAAUUAAGAAUAUUUUAAACAAAAUAAUUUACAACCAUACUAAUAAUGUAAUAAAGGUUUUAUUUUCUGUAGUAGAAGAACUGUCCAAAACUGUAGGAUCUGAAAGGUAUAAUAUAUAACAGUUCUGCAAUUAAAAGUCAAAAACAACUAGAC